rnacentral:rRNA from 1 species
AUGUGUGCACCAAAAGAUCAAGGUCGAAUGAGAUUCCGAGAUAUACACUGUUUUAGUUUGGCCUUGUUAGCCAAACAAACGUGACGUCUGCUUGAUAACCCUGAUUUUCUAUGUGCCACUGUUUUGAGAACCAAAUAUUUCCCGGAUGGCGACAUAAUGAAUGCAAGUUUAAAAAAGGGUUCUUCUUUUACUUGGCAAAGCAUUAUGACGGGCAUUGAUUCUCUCAAAAAUGGUUAUAGUUGGAGAGUUGGAAAUGGACUAAAUAUUGAUAUUUGGAAAGAUGCAUGGAUCCCAAACUGUGCAAAUAGGAAAAUUAUUACUCCUAGAGGAGGGCACCUGCUAUCAAAAGUUGCUGACCUUAUCAAUCCGGUCACCAAUUUUUGGGAUGAAGAUUUAGUUAGACAAACAUUGUGGCCAGUUGAUGCUCAAAGGGUGCUAGCGAUCCCCCUCUCCAUGCAUAAGAUGACAGAUUUCAUUGCUUGGAAUUACACAAAGAAUGGGUGUUUCACGGUUUGGUCAGCUUACUUAAAGGGAUGGACCAAACAACAUGAGAGGAAAUUGAACUACACAAAUGGUAUGGGGGAAAAUGUCAAUCCUAUUUGGAGAAAGGUUUGGAAAUUAUCUUGUCCAGCAAUAGUGAAGAUUUUCAUAUAGCGUACCUUGCACGGAACACUACCAUGUCGUGCCACACUUUCUAAUAGACAUUUGAAAGUUUCUCCCAUCUGCCCAUCAUGUUCGAAUGGACCAGAAGAUACAAAACACAUGUUGUUUCUUAGUCAGAAGGCGAAAGAUGUUUGGAGAAAACUAGGAUUGCAUGAGGCCAUCAGUAAAGCUUGUGUUAUUAAUCGUGCGGGAGAGUCAGUUCUUGAGUUUUUACUUCUUAUGCCAGAGGAAGAGCUAUCUAAAGUAGGCACCCAUAAUGCACAUGAAUUGAUUGCUAUAACAGCCUGGUAUUUAUGGUGGAAUAAAUGGAUGCUAGUUCAUGAGGGAAAGUCCCAAGAUGCAUACCAAACCUCAAUGGGAGCCCGUGCUAUAGCGGCAAAUUAUGUUAAAGCUCAUUCCUCGAGGGCAACAAUUAGAACAGGGGGAUGGGAAAGACCUCCCGUGGGUUUUGUGAAAUUGAAUGUUGAUGCCUCUUUUGAUCAGGACAUGCUUAGAGGUACAGCAGGGGUUGUUCUUAGAGAUGACAAAGGAAGGUUCAUUAUUGGGGGGAACUAG